UCACUCAUUUUCCAUCUCUUAUCUUCCUCUCUAACACAGAAAACCCUAACUCUCAAAAGACGAGAGGAGAUGCAACAAUCCAUCUCUAAUCUUCCCCGAAGACUGUCAAUUUCUUGGUUCCAUGAAACCCUAAUUCACUGGUUUCCCAAAUCCCUGAUUCUCUUUUCGAUUUUGAUUUCUCUAAUUUACUUCAUCUUGAGAUCAUCCUCAAAAUCCUAACUCCUAUCAUCAUAUUUACCUUUUCUUUUGGUUCAAUUUGUGAUGGGUUCUGUUGAUUUAUUUAAGAUGAACUCGAGAAUGGAUUUGUGAUGGGAAAUAGGAAUUAGGGUUCUAAACUGAGUUGAUGUUGGAGCUGGUGGAGAAGGAAAUAGGUAUUUUCAGUUCAAGAGAAGAAAUUAAGAAGAAACUGGUGCUUCUGUUGAAUUGAAAUGGUGGAUUAUCUACUUGUUUAACGACACACAACCAUCAGUACCAUGGGAACAAAAAUAAAACCUUAAUUUCUCUUCCUCUGCCUGUAGAUGGAAUCUCUAGCAGUCUCAUCGUCUUUGUCUCCGUCAAAUCUCAGUUUAUCCUCCUCAUCAUUUCCUAUCAAGACCAGAAAUUCAAGCUCUCAUUGUUUCUUUACCACUUCACCCCAAAAUUUCUGAUGUUCUAUUUGUGUAGUGAACGAUAAAGAAAGAGUGAAAUUCGAAGGAAUAUGGGUUUAUUGUUUUGGAUAGUUUACAGAGAUCUAUCUUUAUUUGCAACUUGUAACUGAUUUUUACUCUAAUGAUGAUCUUAGGAGUUUAGAAUUUUGAAGAUUGUUUUGGUUUUUGAUUAAAUUCAAAUUAGGUUGAAAUUGGGGAUUUCUUGUAUCUGAUUUGGUUUGAAUUACGUUGAAAUCUUUGGGGGAUUUUUGGUUUUUGAUUGAGUUGGAAAUAUAUUGAAUUUUCUUGUUUCUGAUCUAACAUGCUUAGAAGAAUGUUUAGGAUUUGAAUUGAAGCUGCAGCUAACGAGUGAAAUAGAAUGCAGGGUAUGAUAUGAACUAAUUUUGCUGGUUCUGAGUGAUUGCUGAAGCUACAGUUGGAAGUGGAAGUGGAUUGACCUGAGGAUGAGCUAGUAUUGCAGGUGGUGGUGACUCUGUAGUGGUUUAGAUGAGGAAAUCAAGAAGACGAUGUUGUGUGUGUUGAUGCUUCUGAUAAAGUUUUGGCAUUACAGAGAUGGAGCAGUGGUAAGGAAGAGGCUAGGCAGAGGUGGAACUUGUGUAGGAGAACGAGAUUGAUUGUGUAGGAAGUGUUAGAUGUAUGCCCAGGAUGUACAGAGACCAAAAUGGAUCACAAUUGAAGGUUGUAUUCUUGAUGAUACCAUUGAUCCGGAGUACUUAGCUCUUAUAAUUGGAGAUGUUUGUGUGAGAAAGGUUAAGGAGCAUGAGUUUCGUGCUCAUGCAGUUUCACCAUUAUGUAAGAUCUUUUUUCUUGUACAUUGGGUAAGUAUCCUUGGAUCAUAUUCUUGUAGGAUUAUGAAUUUAAUUAUUAAAUCUUCAACAUAUAAUAGUCAAUCUUUGAUGCUGUGGACUGGUGGUUCUUCUCCAUGGCUUAAAUGAACACAGGUAAGCGAAGAUAAUUCAAUGUUUCUGUUGAUUCAAGAUCUCUGAAUACAUGAAUAGUUGUUGAUGGAAUAUGAUAUUUGUGAAAUAGCGGGAGAUACAACGAUUAUGUGAAGCAACUAAAUCCUAAUGGAUUUGAAAUGUUUGGGAUGAAUUGGAUUAGUAGGUUCUAUUUCAGUGAAGUUUAUUAUUUUCCUACGGCUAUAAUUGACGUUAUGUGCAUGUUCUAAUCAUGGAAAGGUUAUGGGUACUUUUGAAUAAUAUAAGAUAGAUUUACAUUAUUUUCAAAUGGCAGAGAUCUGGUGUACAAUCUCCUGUGCGUUCAAGAGAUGCAUCUCCAAUAUAGACACUGCCUGUCGUUGCGCCUUGGUGCUGAGAUAUUCUCAGUUUGGCUACGGAAUAUCAUGUGAUACUUCAUGGAGACUUGAUGAAGUUACGGCAUCAGCACCAGGAAACUUAAGGGUGAAGGUUUAGGAUCUUUGCCGGACUGAUGACCUUGCAAGUACUUUUUUGAACUGAUGAGCCUACAAUGUGUGUGUGAUUACUCAUGUGGAUGAUUCUCAUGUCUACAGGCCGACUCCAGAGUUCAAGUAUGUUAGUGAUGCUGUCGAAUAACAUUCUCAUAGACAUUUUAAUCUUCAUAAUCUUUUUGGAGUUGUUCAGGAAAUUUUAACUUUUUGUAACAAACAUCUGUCACUGCCAGUUUUUGAAUGUGUGUUUAACACUAACUUGAAUGAAUGUAAAUGUGUUACGCUGGCAGGUUAAUGUGAAUGUGAAUUACUUUCGAUAA